AGCUUAGUGGCGAACGGGUGAGUAACACGUGAAGAACCUGCCCUUCAGUGGGGGACAACAGUUGGAAACGACUGCUAAUACCGCAUAAGACCACAGUACCGCAUGGUACAGUGAUCAAAGGAUUUAUUCGCUGAAGGAUGGCUUCGCGUCCGAUUAGGUAGUUGGUGAGGUAACGGCCCACCAAGCCUACGAUCGGUAGCCGGACUGAGAGGUUGAUCGGCCACAUUGGGACUGAGACACGGCCCAGACUCCUACGGGAGGCAGCAGUGGGGAAUAUUGCACAAUGGAGGAAACUCUGAUGCAGCGACGCCGCGUGAGGGAAGAAGGUCUUCGGAUUGUAAACCUCUGUCUUCAGGGACGAUAAUGACGGUACCUGAGGAGGAAGCACCGGCUAACUACGUGCCAGCAGCCGCGGUAAAACGUAGGGUGCAAGCGUUGUCCGGAAUUACUGGGUGUAAAGGGAGCGCAGGCGGGAAGGUAAGUUGGAUGUUUAAUCUACGGGCUCAACCCGUAUCAGCAUUCAAAACUAUUUUUCUUGAGUAGUGCAGAGGUAGGCGGAAUUCCCGGUGUAGCGGUGGAAUGCGUAGAUAUCGGGAGGAACACCAGUGGCGAAGGCGGCCUACUGGGCACUAACUGACGCUGAGGCUCGAAAGCAUGGGUAGCAAACAGGAUUAGAUACCCUGGUAGUCCAUGCCGUAAACGAUGAUUACUAGGUGUGGGAGGAUUGACCCCUUCCGUGCCGCAGUUAACACAAUAAGUAAUCCACCUGGGGAGUACGACCGCAAGGUUGAA
rnacentral:rRNA from 1 species